rnacentral:rRNA from 1 species
GGGUAAGUAGGUUGGUCGUGCCACCGGUACGUACUGGUCUCACUGAUUCCUCCUCCCUGAAGAACCGUAAUGCCAUUAAUUUGGUGUUGCGGGGAAACAGGACUGUUACUUUGAAAAAAUUAGAGUGUUUAAAGCAAGCUAACGCUUGAAUAUAUUAGCAUGGAAUAAUGAAAUAGGACGAUCGAUCCUAUUUUGUUGGUCUCUAGGAUUGACGUA